GGGUGAAUGAAAACGUUUUGUUAAAUAAUUAAAAAGAAUUUUUUAAAAUUUGUCUUUUAUGUAAAGUUAGUAGUGAAAUCUGGAGUUUAAAUUAUAAGAGUUAAAUUUAGAAAAAUGUUUUGAGGUUGUGAAAAUAAAGGUAUAAAAUAGGAUUAGAUACCCUACUAUACUUUAUAGAAAAUUUAUACACAUAGGUAGUAGUAGAUAUGGUCUUGAAAUCUAAAAAAUUUGGCGGUAUCUAAGUCUAGUUAGAGGAACCUGUUAUAUAAGCGAUAAUCCACGGAUAUCUAUCCUUGUUUUGUAAUUCUCAGUAUGUAUACCGCCAUUAUUAGGUAGUUUUAAAAGAUAUUUACUAAAAUAGGAUCAAUUCUAGUAUAUUAGGUCAAGGUGCAGCUAAUAAUGAGGGAAUCAAUGGGUUACAUUAAUAUUUAAUUAUACGAAAAGGUGAAGGCAGUUUUUCCUAGAAGGAGGAUUUAAUUGUAAUAAAUGUGAAUUAUGCAUUUGUGAUAAAAGCUCUUAGAUAUGUACAUAUCGCCCGUCGUUCUCAUUAA
rnacentral:rRNA from 1 species